rnacentral:lncRNA from 1 species
GGGAAUUGCAGCAGGCUGUCUGGAAAGUGUAAGCUCGUGUUAGGAAAAAGUUGCUUUCUAGGGAAACUACAGCAAGAAGAAGAACCAGAGCCAUAUGGAGUGAAAAAGCUUAGGCUGAGAUUGUUUCAUCAGAUUGGACUGCAGCUGCAUAGAACAUGCUGUACUUCCCCAAGCUCCUCAGGAAUCCAGAUGAAACCACUGCUUGCUUCAGGGUCAAGAUUUUCAAAAAAAAGAUGACAAAUAAAUUAUAAAUCUUGAGAAAAUUGCUCCCA